rnacentral:lncRNA from 1 species
CAGACGCCUCAAAUCGCGGGGGCACAGGGAGAGCGGUCAGAUGUCCUGCAGGCAGAACCCCAGGGGAACCACUCCCAGGGGUGAAACCGUGCUGACUCGGAGAACAACAGAGCAGGAAUGUGUUUCGAGGAGCCAACAAAUCCAAACCCCUCUGCAGACAAGAAAUGAACGACAAUUUUAUGUCUAAAAUGAAAAGAGCUACCAAUCAUCUUUUAGAUUAAAAAAAAAACUUAUAGAAGGAACAACAAAUGCUGGAUGAUAGUUAUUUU